rnacentral:tRNA from 1 species
GAUCGAUUUGGCGAAGCGGGUCGCGGUGCCGUGGUACAGCGUGGCCGGCGGCGGCAGCGGCGCCAGUUCCAGGUCGACCUCGAUCG